AUGAACGCUGGCGGCGUGCCUCAUACAUGCAAGUAGCACGCUGAAGGAGGAGCUUGCUCUUCUGGAUGAGUUGCGAACGGGUGAGUAACGCGUAGGUAACCUGCCUGGUAGCGGGGGAUAACUAUUGGAAACGAUAGCUAAUACCGCAUGACAACAGUUAUUGCAUGAUAACUGUUUAAAAGGGGCAACUGCUCCACUACCAGAUGGACCUGCGUUGUAUUAGCUAGUUGGUGAGGUAACGGCUCACCAAGGCGACGAUACAUAGCCGACCUGAGAGGGUGAUCGGCCACACUGGGACUGAGACACGGCCCAGACUCCUACGGGAGGCAGCAGUAGGGAAUCUUCGGCAAUGGACGGAAGUCUGACCGAGCAACGCCGCGUGAGUGAAGAAGGUUUUCGGAUCGUAAAGCUCUGUUGUAAGAGAAGAACGAGUGUGAGAGUGGAAAGUUCACACUGUGACGGUAUCUUACCAGAAAGGGACGGCUAACUACGUG
rnacentral:rRNA from 1 species